AAAGUCGUAACAAGGUUUCCGUAGGUGAACCUGCGGAAGGAUCAUUGCUGAUGCCGGCGGUCGGUCCGAGCCCUCGCGAGGGGGUGAGGGCCACCGCUUUCAAACAUCAUCUGCCCCUUUGUGAACCUGGCAUCGGAGCGCCGAUCGGGCGCGAGCUUUGGGGCCCGCGCCCUCUCCGAAAGCGACGCGCGCCACGCGUGUCGUCGCCCGAGGAUAGGCUUCCUUUGCCCAACAACCUGUCUUUUAUUGCCUGUCUCCCCAGACUGAAGCAAAAAAAACAAAAACUAUACUUACAACUUUUAACAACGGAUAUCUUGGCUCGC
rnacentral:misc_RNA from 1 species